rnacentral:rRNA from 1 species
GCCAGGCUGUCUCCACCCGAGACUCAGUGAAAUUGAACUCGCUGUGAAGAUGCAGUGUACCCGCGGCAAGACGGAAAGACCCCGUGAACCUUUACUAUAGCUUGACACUGAACAUUGAGCCUUGAUGUGUAGGAUAGGUGGGAGGCUUAGAAGUGUGGACGCCAGUCUGCAUGGAGCCGACCUUGAAAUACCACCCUUUAAUGUUUGAUGUUCUAACGUUGACCCGUAAUCCGGGUUGCGGACAGUGUCUGGUGGGUAGUUUGACUGGGGCGGUCUCCUCCUAAAGAGUAACGGAGGAGCACGAAGGUUGGCUAAUCCUGGUCGGACAUCAGGAGGUUAGUGCAAUGGCAUAAGCCAGCUUGACUGCGAGCGUGACGGCGCGAGCAGGUGCGAAAGCAGGUCAUAGUGAUCCGGUGGUUCUGAAUGGAAGGGCCAUCGCUCAACGGAUAAAAGGUACUCCGGGGAUAACAGGCUGAUACCGCCCAAGAGUUCAUAUCGACGGCGGUGUUUGGCACCUCGAUGUCGGCUCAUCACAUCCUGGGGCUGAAGUAGGUCCCAAGGGUAUGGCUGUUCGCCAUUUAAAGUGGUACGCGAGCUGGGUUUAGAACGUCGUGAGACAGUUCGGUCCCUAUCUGCCGUGGGCGCUGGAGAACUGAGGGGGGCUGCUCCUAGUACGAGAGGACCGGAGUGGACGCAUCACUGGUGUUCGGGUUGUCAUGCCAAUGGCACUGCCCGGUAGCUAAAUGCGGAAGAGAUAAGUGCUGAAAGCAUCUAAGCACGAAACUUGCCCCGAGAUGAGUUCUCCCUGACUCCUUGAGAGUCCUGAAGGAACGUUGAAGACGACGACGUUGAUAGGCCGGGUGUGUAAGCGCAGCGAUGCGUUGAGCUAACCGGUACUAAUGAACCGUGAGGCUUAACCUUACAACGCCGAAGCUGUU